rnacentral:lncRNA from 1 species
UUUGCUGGUGGAUGUGCUGCUUGGAUGGUAUUUGGUAGAGUUGUAGGGAUAGCAUUUACAGGUCUUGACAAAUAUGGUUUUACUAGACACCCGUUAGGUUUCACCGUCUUUUUUGAUUGCAGCUGGCUAAAAAGAAUCCCCUACAAAGGUCUGAAAGCUCACAGCUGGUCACUGACUGCAUGGCUUGUGACUCACAUCCACCCUACAUGUGAAAAUAAAUUCCUGGUAUUGUAUAUAGUGAAAGAAGAAAAACUGUACCUCAGCAAACCGAGCACUAGGUACAGUAAACAUCCUAUUCCCUUCUAGAGAACUUCUUGUGGAGAGAGGGAAAAAAAGUGCUUUUCACUCUUUUGUUUUUGUAGAGGCAAAAGUCACAGCUGAAGUGCCUGGUGAAUUUAGUGACGUGGGACAAUUCCUAGCAACUGGGAAGCCACAAAAAUGAAAAGGGAGACUGCUUUCUGGAUGGUUGCCUGUUUACUGUUCACAUCUCUACCCAGAGGUCAGCCAGACACAACGUGCCAUGCAUUUGUGGGAGAAACUGUCAUUUUGCCUUGUACCAUCACCUCUCCUGGAGAGCUAGAUGUUUCCGAUUCAAAGCUCUACUGGCAGAUAGAGUCUACUAUAGUGCAUUUUUUUCACAAUGGGGAAGAUUCACUGAGGUACCAGGAUAUAAAUUACCGUGGCAGAACCAGUCUUUUUUUGGAUGAGGUGAAGCAUGGCAACUUUUCUCUACAGCUCUCCAACAUCCGAUUAGAGGAUGCAGCUGAAUAUACUUGCAUCUAUAAACAGGCUAGGACUCUCUCCAACAAAACACAGAAAUCUAAAAUUAAACUCAAUGUAUCAGAUCACAGUCAGGCUUCCCCAAGAAGUCCUGGUGAUGCACAGGGACUAGAUAUACUUGCUCUCUCUUUUCAUCUCCUGGUAACACUGGUGGUUUGGCAUUUGUGA